rnacentral:tRNA from 1 species
UUAAUUGAAGCCAAAAAGAGGCGUAUCACUGUUAAUGAUAUAAUUGAGUUCUAUUCUCCAAUUAAG